GCUGCUGGCGACCUUGUCUGACCCCAACCUGGCCGGCCUGGUGGGCGUGGUCAGCCGGGACGACCCCCUGGUGCUCAUCAUAGAGUUUCUCCCCCUGGGCGACCUCAACCAGUACCUCCGGCGACAUGUCCCGGACACUACCACUCCCAGGCUCAACCACAUGCGUCCCAUAAGUUACGGUUCGCUCAUAUACAUGGCAACACAGGUUGCUUCUGGUAUGAAGUACCUUGAGGCUCACAACAUCACCCACAGGGAUCUUGCUACCAGGAACGUGCUGGUGGGGUCGUCCCACGCCGUCAAGAUUACGUGCGCGGGGUCGUGCCGCUCGCUCUACGCCGGCGACUAUUACACCAGCGAGACGCAGCUCAGCCCCCUGCCCAUCCGCUG